UUUUUUUUUUUUUUUUUUUUUUUUGAGACAGGGCCUCUCUCUCUGUCACCCAGACUGCGGAGCAGUGGCGCAAUCACGGCUUACUGCAGCCUUCACCUUUUGGAUUCAAGCGAUCCUGUGCCUCAGAUUCCUGAGUAGCUGGGAUUACAGGUGCACACCAACACAUCUGGCCAAUUUUUUAUUUUUAUUUUUGUAGAGACAGUUUCCAGGCUGGUUUCAAACUCCUGGGCUCAAGCGAUCCUCCCACCUCAGCCUCCCAAAAUGCUGGGAUUUCAGGCACAAGCCACUGCACUCAGCCCCUAUUUGCAUCUUAAAGCAGUCACUCCAGCAUCACUGUGGAAUGCAGGGAGGGAGAAGGGAAUUGGAUGGUUGGUUCAAAAUGAGAAAUGAUAAAGGUCUAAGGUGACAUCUGAAGGGAAUAAAGGAGGGGACAGAGGAAUGUAAGUGAACUGAGCAGAACGAGGGCAGAGUGGCAGGGGACAGAAUGGCAGAAGCCACCCAGCCGGGGGUGGGGGCAUGGGAGGGAAAGGAGGAUCACCUGGAAGAUGUGAGGGGGCCAGGGAGUGAGGAGAGAAAGAGGAAAGUGAAAUUAUGCUUUAUAAAGAAUGAGUCAUACAUUCACUCAUGAUAGAGCAUUUACUGUGUCGCAGACACUGGGCUAGACCCUGGCAAUACAUUCAUGAGGGAAACAGACACUGCCCCUGCCCUGGAGGUUUGCACCCUAGUGGAGAGGCAGCUGGUAUUUGGGGUGGGAGGCUCCUGUGCUGGGCCUGGGAAGCCCAGAAGUGGGUAUUUAAGCUGAGAGAGCAAGGAUGAGAAGCAGCAUCCAGUGAAGAAAGCUGGGAAGACUAUUCCCAGCAGAAGGAACACUAUGGGGAAAGGUCCUUCAGGGAAUGGAGAAGCAGCCAGGCUUGCUGGAUUUGUUGCAGGAGGAUCCUAUGUGCUUUAAGGACAGUGGUCAGUGCUUUGGGUUUGAUUCUAUGCAGCAAGGGAAGCCACUAGAGGGUUUAGGGGCAGGAGAGAACCAUGACCAGAUGUGACCUAUGAAAAGAUCACUUUGGACGCUUGCAGAGAUGGGGUGCAGUCCAGGUGGGGGCCGUGCAGAUGCAGAGAGCUGCUCAGAUGUGACACAAGUCUCAGAAGCAGAAAUGCUGAUGAAUUGGCUGCAGGUGCGAGGCAGAGAAGACUCACGUGCUUUCCUGGGUUUCUGGCAUGAACAACUGGGGGGAUUUCAGAAGCAUCAUCAGAGCUGGGGAAGCCAGGUGCAGGGAGGGACAGGAAGUCACAUGCUGUGUUUUGAACUGUACCUUGGAGAGAGGGAGCCUGAGAGGCAUCCAGCCAGCAGAUGAAUGCACGCAUGAGCCUGGAGAUUGCCAAAGUCGGCCUGGAGUCACAGAGGUGGAAGCCACAGGUGGGCACACACAGACCACAGAUCUGAAGCCUUGCAGGAAGACUGGGAGAUGGAGAGGAGACGCACAGGAGACUGAGCCCGGGCACAACAGUGCUCGGCUGUGAGGUGGAGGAGGCUAAGGUGAGAGGCCACAGGAGGGUGAGGUUGCCUGGGUGACAGGAGAGGAGAGAGCCUUGAGAAGAGGCCACCAGUUCUGUCACCUGCUGCUGAGGG
ensembl:lncRNA